rnacentral:rRNA from 1 species
ACGGGUGAGUAACGCGUGGGUAACCUGCCUCAUAGAGGGGGACAACAGUUGGAAACGACUGCUAAUACCGCAUAGUAAGAAAGAUUCGCAUGUUUCUUUCUUGAAAGAUUUAUCGCUAUGAGAUGGACCCGCGUCUGAUUAGCUAGUUGGUAAGGUAACGGCUUACCAAGGCGACGAUCAGUAGCCGGCUUGAGAGAGUGAACGGCCACAUUGGGACUGAGACACGGCCCAGACUCCUACGGGAGGCAGCAUG